rnacentral:rRNA from 1 species
AGCGAACGCUGGCGGCAGGCCUAACACAUGCAAGUCGAGCGCCCGUAGCAAUACGGGAGCGGCAGACGGGAGAGUAACACGUGGGGACGUACCCUUCGGUUCGGAAUAACCCAGGGAAACUUGGGCUAAUACCGGAUACGUCCGAAAGGAGAAAGAUUUAUCGCCGAAGGAUCGGCCCGCGCCCGAUUAGCUAGUUGGUG